rnacentral:lncRNA from 10 species
UCUGCUGAUGGUGUAGGCAUCUGGAAAAUGUGUCUUUAUUAAAAUUACAUUUAAAAACGAGUGAUAUUCAGGGUCAUGACUUUCUGAACCCAUCAGAGAGCUGAAUUGCAGGGCAAUUAAAUAGUUUAAAAUGAAGGAAAGAGAGGUGCCUCCUACAAUAACAGAGAUGGGCUGCAAACAUUGGAUGACCUGUGGCAGAGCACGGAAAGAAGGCAAGGAUGACAGCUACAUGCAGACAAGGUCUCCAGAUUUGCCACCCAUGCUGAGUGCCGUGGUGUGAUCAUGGCUUAUUUCAACCUCAACCUCCCCCACUCAAGCGAUCCUCCUGCCUCAGCCUCUGGAGUAGCUGGGACUACAGGCACGCACCACCACACCCAGCCAUAAUUUGCCUCUUGCUGUAACUAAAAGGUCACAAAAACAAAGAAUUCUAAAAAAUCUUCUUCUUAAGUGGUAUGUUUAGUAUUUAUCAUGAUGACAAUGUUCUAAAUUGCACCUGCCUCCACUAGCAGAAUGCCAGGAUUACUGCCAGACAGAGAAUUCGGACUGCUGGUCCAGGGACAUAGCUAUGAAAUGCACCAAGGACAGCAGAGUGUGUUUUGGAGAAAGCCAGGUAGCUCUUGAUAGGGCCUAUAUGAGUACUUAUUCCUGCUGAUAGGAAAAAAAUGAUUAGAAAAAUCUCAUUUCUUUAUUCAUUUCUACUCUGAGAGCUUUUUACUUCUAGAAACACGGUCUUAGUUUUCUGUGUUAUUAUGUUUUUUUUUUGAAACUGA